rnacentral:rRNA from 2 species
GGUACCAGGGGACCUCUAGAGAUUGCAGAGUUCUCGGAGUCACGAAGAGUUUGAUCCUGGCUCAGGACGAACGCUGGCGGCGUGCCUAAUACAUGCAAGUCGAACGAAGUUUUCUUUCACCGAAUGCUUGCAUUCACCGAAAGAAGCUUAGUGGCGAACGGGUGAGUAACACGUAGGCAACCUGCCCAAAAGAGGGGGAUAACACUUGGAAACAGGUGCUAAUACCGCAUAACCAUGAACACCGCAUGAUGUUCAUGUAAAAGACGGCUUUUGCUGUCACUUUUGGAUGGGCCUGCGGCGUAUUAACUUGUUGGUGGGGUAACGGCCUACCAAGGUGAUGAUACGUAGCCGAACUGAGAGGUUGAUCGGCCACAUUGGGGCUGAGACACGGCCCAAACUCCUACGGGAGGCAGCAGUAGGGAAUCUUCCACAAUGGACGAAAGUCUGAUGGAGCAACGCCGCGUGAAUGAAGAAGGCCUUCGGGUCGUAAAAUUCUGUUGUCAGAGAAGAACGUGCGUGAGAGUAACUGUUCACGUAUUGACGGUAUCUGACCAGAAAGCCACGGCUAACUACGUGCCAGCAGCCGCGGUAAUACGUAGGUGGCAAGCGUUGUCCGGAUUUAUUGGGCGUAAAGGGAACGCAGGCGGUCUUUUAAGUCUGAUGUGAAAGCCUUCGGCUUAACCGAAGUAGUGCAUUGGAAACUGGAAGACUUGAGUGCAGAAGAGGAGAGUGGAACUCCAUGUGUAGCGGUGAAAUGCGUAGAUAUAUGGAAGAACACCAGUGGCGAAAGCGGCUCUCUGGUCUGUAACUGACGCUGAGGUUCGAAAGCGUGGGUAGCAAACAGGAUUAGAUACCCUGGUAGUCCACGCUGUAAACGAUGAGUGCUAAGUGUUGGAGGGUUUCCGCCCUUCAGUGCUGCAGCUAACGCAUUAAGCACUCCGCCUGGGGAGUACGGUCGCAAGACUGAAACUCAAAGGAAUUGACGGGGGCCCGCACAAGCGGUGGAGCAUGUGGUUUGAUUCGAAGCAACGCGAAGAACCUUACCAGGUCUUGACAUCUUCUGACAAUUCCAGAGAUGGAACGUUCCCUUCGGGGACAGAAUGACAGGUGGUGCAUGGUUGUCGUCAGCUCGUGUCGUGAGAUGUUGGGUUAAGUCCCGCAACGAGCGCAACCCUUAUUGUCAGUUGCCAUCAUUAAGUUGGGCACUCUGGCGAGACUGCCGGUGACAAACCGGAGGAAGGUGGGGAUGACGUCAAAUCAUCAUGCCCCUUAUGACCUGGGCUACACACGUGCUACAAUGGACGGUACAACGAGUCGCUAACUCGCGAGGGCAAGCUAAUCUCUUAAAGCCGUUCUCAGUUCGGAUUGCAGGCUGCAACUCGCCUGCAUGAAGUCGGAAUCGCUAGUAAUCGCGAAUCAGCAUGUCGCGGUGAAUACGUUCCCGGGCCUUGUACACACCGCCCGUCACACCAUGAGAGUUUGUAACACCCGAAGUCGGUGGGGUAACCUUUUGGAGCCAGCCGCCUAAGGUGGGACAGAUGAUUGGGGUGAAGUCGUAACAAGGUAGCCGUAGUCCUGUGUGAAGUGAUCCGCUAAUCGUCGACC